GCGGCGGACGGGUGAGUAAUACGUGAGGAACCUACCUUCCACAAGGGGAUAGCCUCGGGAAACCGGGAUUAAUACCCUAUGACACUUAAGAGUCGCAUGACUCUUAGGUUAAAGCGCUUUAGCGGUGGGAGAUGGCCUCACGUCCCAUUAGCUAGUUGGUGAGGUAACGGCUCACCAAGGCGACGAUGGGUAGCCGGCCUGAGAGGGUGACCGGCCACACUGGGACUGAGACACGGCCCAGACUCCUACGGGAGGCAGCAGUGGGGAAUAUUGCACAAUGGGCGAAAGCCUGAUGCAGCGACGCCGCGUGAGCGAAGAAGGCCUUCGGGUCGUAAAGCUCUGUCCUAUGGGAAGAUAAUGACGGUACCAUAGGAGGAAGCCCCGGCUAACUACGUGCCAGCAGCCGCGGUAAUAC
rnacentral:rRNA from 3 species